CUACUUCCCCCCGUAGUUUUUUAGUCACACCAUCAACAAUAUUAGUAAGUAUUUUCCCCGUUAUUUUAUCAUACAAUUGCUUCAGCCUCGUCUUCAGGGUUGUCUUUCCGAUGCACUGUAUUUUGUAGAGUCGCGCUCUGCGAUCUACAUAUUUGGCACUGUCUAUUUCCGGUGCAUGCUGACGCAUGCACGCUGUUCUAGAACAUUCUGAUGUGCAGCAAGAAAGUAUAUAAGCAGUUCAAGGCUGCUGUUAGACCUUGGGAGUUGCAUGAGUUUAGAUCUAUGUAUCAGAAGAUCAAGAUGAGUAAAGAUACCGGUAUCCAGUCAGACGCAGACGCUUCGUUUACGUGCAGUAGUUUAGACAGACAGUACAGCACAUCCCCUGACCACUCUGAACCCUCACAUCUGUAGCCCCCUCUGGAGGAUAGAACAUCUGCCAACAGUGCCUCUCAUUACUUCUGUCAUCAACUGCAUCAAAAUCGUCUCUACAAAUUUUUCACACAGCUCGGUAAAUUCUUGAAUUUUUUCAAAAAAGACUUAAUUCUAGACACCACACUUGGAUGACCUUUCUACGAGGUGCUCAUACCAUCGCCUCAUCUCAUCUCCUCAAGGGAAGUUAGCCACGUCGCGGUACAACAGAUUUGGAGUCUACAACACCUGCAUUUUUAAAUAAAAUUCCCUUGCGGAUCAGUUUUCCUGUUCGGGAGGUUUUGGCUGGUUUACUCACGGAUUGGACUGUCGAUUCGGAAUGGAAUUGAUUAAUUUUGUUUAAUAACCUUACAUAAUAUUAUUAACAAAAUAAUUAAAACUAAUCAUGAUCGAGGACGAUCUUCUUUUGAAAGGAGAGCAAUGUAGAGUCGCGCUCUGCGAUCUACAUAUUUGGCACUGUCUAUUUCCGGUGCAUGCUGACGCAUGCACGCUGUUCUAGAACAUUCUGAUGUGCAGCAAGAAAGUAUAUAAGCAGUUCAAGGCUGCUGUUAGACCUUGGGAGUUGCAUGAGUUUAGAUCUAUGUAUCAGAAGAUCAAGAUGAGUAAAGAUACCGGUAUCCA